UACGGGGGGAGCAAGCGUUGUUCGGAUUUACUGGGCGUAAAGGGCGCGUAGGCGGCCACCGCAAGUCGACUGUGAAAUCUCCGGGCUUAACCCGGAAAGGUCAGCCGAUACUGCGGGGCUAGAGUGCAGAAGGGGCAACUGGAAUUCUCGGUGUAGCGGUGAAAUGCGUAGAUAUCGAGAGGAACACCUGCGGCGAAGGCGGGUUGCCGGGCUGACACUGACGCUGAUGCGCGAAAGCUAGGGGAGCGAACGGG
rnacentral:rRNA from 1 species